rnacentral:rRNA from 1 species
GAUGAACGCUGGCUACAGGCUUAACACAUGCAAGUCGAGGGGAAACGACGGGGAAGCUUGCUUCCCCGGGCGUCGACCGGCGCACGGGUGAGUAACGCGUAUCCAACCUGCCUCUGACUGAGGGAUAACCCGUCGAAAGUCGGCCUAAUACCUCAUGGCAUCGUCUGCGGGCACCCAACGACGAUUAAAGAUUUCAUCGGUCAGUGAUGGGGUUGCGUCUGAUUGGCUUGUUGGCGGGGGAACAGCCCACCAAGGCCACAAUGAGUAGGGGUUAGGAGGGGAAGGUCCCCCAGAUUGGAACUAAGACACGGUCCAAAAUCCUACGGGAGGGAGCAGUGAGGAAUAUUGGUCAAUGGGCGGGAGCCUGAACCAGCCAAGUAGCGUGCAGGGGGACGGCCCUAUGGGUUGUAAACUGCUUUUAUGCAGGGAUAAAGUGAGGGACGUGUCCUUCAUUGCAGGUACCGAAUGAAUAAGGACCGGCUAAUUCCGUG